CAACAACAAAAGGUUCGUGAUCAAGACCUUCCAGUUCUUCCUUCUAAACAUGUUUUAAAAUUGCUCUUUGCGAUAGGAAUAUACUCUUGUAGCAUUAGAUGGAAGCAGACUCUUCAUUACUUGUAAAUCUCUGUUUACUGUGUCUUAGUUCUGUCCUGCUGCCUAGAGGCCAUAAACGAAACACACUGCUUUAUACUUUAGAAGGUGGUGUCACUUUGUUCUCCCCCUACAGCAUUCAGUUUGGUAGUACGUACAGAUUUAAACUGUUGAAACUGGCCUAAGUAUGGAAUAAAA
rnacentral:lncRNA from 1 species